rnacentral:rRNA from 1 species
UACGAAGGGAGCUAGCGUUGUUCGGAAUUACUGGGCGUAAAGCGCACGUAGGCGGAUUUGUUAGUCAGGGGUGAAAUCCCGGGGCUCAACCUCGGAACUGCCUUUGAUACUGCAAAUCUCGAGUCCGAUAGAGGUGGGUGGAAUUCCUAGUGUAGAGGUGAAAUUCGUAGAUAUUAGGAAGAACACCGGUGGCGAAGGCGGCCCACUGGAUCGGUACUGACGCUGAGGUGCGAAAGCGUGGGGAGCAAACAGG